rnacentral:lncRNA from 1 species
UAAAAUUGAAGGUGCUAAAUGACCACUUUUACAGUCUACCAGUUUACUAGUACCUAGCCAUCAGUCUCUGUCACAACAAUGGAGUCCAAAUUCCUCUCUUCAAUUGCUCCGGCGCCGUUGCCGACACUUUCUACCUUUCCGUCUUCCUCCGACGUAACCACGGACCGGACUAUUCAAAGUCCGUCUGCGAAAUAUCCGGCGCCGCCAACAUCACCUUCGACGCCGUUAUCCGCUCAAGAUAUAUGGCGAUCGCCGACACUUUCUACCUUUCCGGCUUCCUCCGACGUAGCCACGGACCGGACUAUUCAAAGUCCGGCUGCGAAAUAUCCGGCGCCGCCAACAACACCUUCGACGCCGUUAUCCGCUCAAGAUAUACGGCGAUGGAGACCGGCGGCGCAACGAAACCUGAGAAACCAAUGGUCUAAGUUGGCUGCUCUGCGGACGCAAUGGUUUUCCUUAUCCUCCACUGCUCGAUCAUAUGCCACUUCUGUAGUCAAUUCACAUCUCUCCCAAAGGUAAACUUCAACCCAUAGUGGUCUAAAUUGGCUGAUCUGCGGACGCAAUGGUUUUCCUUAUCCUCUACUGCUCGAUCAUAUGCCACUUCUGUAGUCAAUUCACAUCUCUCCCAAAGGUAAACUUCAAGCACGCGUUUGAAUAAAAUUACAAGUCAGGAACUUGCUUAAAGAUACUGUAAAAUCAUUAUUUUUAUAGUUAAAAAAGCAUUACAACAACGUAUGAAUAAAAAAAUGACUCCAAAUAUAAUUGUGUCAGCGCCCAAGGGUGUGGUUAGUGGUCUGGGAGGAGAAUCAUGAAUUCUCAGCAGAGUAGUCAAAAGAGAAAAGAAUAAAGAAGCACCAAAGUUUUUUGAGCAUUGGUAAGAAAAGCACCAAUGAAGUAAUGCGAGAAAAUAUAACUACAAUACGCAAACAAAAGAACGGAAAAACUAGAAGUAAGCUAUAUACAUAUAUGUUGUCGUGCCAUGAAAGACAGAUCCCAUCAGUGAAAGUGAUCACGCCUUAACACCGAGCUUUAGGGCUUAAGCACUUUAAGCAAGCCUCUGGUUCAAAUCCCAAUGGAGCGGAGGCAAUAAAAUACUAGGUGAUUUUUUCCCAUCUGCCUAAGCCUUGGUGGGCAGAGUUAACUCGUUUUAGCUGGUGGGAGGUAGCAUGUACCUGAUGGAAUAAUUUAGGUGCCCACAAGUUGGCUUGAAUACUACCAUCAUAAAAAAAGUAAUUGUCUCAUUCUUUCUGAGACGAGGCAAUAGUAUUGAAGAGGGUAUGUGGAUUUGUAUUGUGGUUAAUGUGAUUUCUGUUAAGCAAAAUGGAUCCUGGACCUAACUUAGCAUAGCCUACAACCCAUACCCUCAGCUGGUGCAGGACUCUAACAAUUUAUAAUGUUGACUUGUCAGUGAUUCUGAAUUACAUCCUUUGGAGAUUUGGUGCAGGUAUAUGGAUGCAAUGGACUUGGGUGUUUUAACAGAUAUGCCUGAUAUACGUAAAAAGGCAUGUAGGAAAUUGUUCAAGCAGCAGGUGAUUAUAUUAAUUGCCUUUUUCCUUCAGUCUUUUGGCUUCAAUUUGAAUUGUCCUGGAAGCUGGCUGUUUGCACACUGCAUAAAGUUGAUUGAGAAGUCUUUUGGCUUCAAUUUGAAUUGUCCUAGAAGCUGGCUGUUUGCACACUGCAUAAAGUUGAUUGAGACAAUGUGUUUUGAUGUCCCUUGUUAUUUCCUCAUAUACAUGGAAAACCUAUUGAAUUUGAAGUACUGAGAAUAUAUUAGACCUUCCAAGCGACAACAUUCUUAAUAUUCGUGUUGCUAAAUUAAUUUUGUUGGAUUGCUCAUUGAGUCUGCUCGAGAUUGUACUGGAAAUAUUGUCUGAUUGCGUGUCAGAGGUUUUCCUCGUUAUUUAGUUGCUCAAGUAUGCUGAAAAGGAGUCUUUAAAGUAGAAUGGAAAACCCAUCUCUGUUUAUUGACAAAAUCAAACUGUACUCUGAGUAAUUUCUCACAGCUGUCUUUAUUUUUCAGGAGACUUAUAGGAAUAACCUCUUGUCAUCUUAUAAAGAUAUGGUAUGCACACUAUAUAUUUACUGGUCCGCUUCAUAAUGUGUCAAUGAUUAGCUUGCUACUCAAAGAUAUGGUAUGCACACUACAUAUUUACUGGUCCGCUUCAUAAUGUGUCAAUGAUUAGCUUGCUACUCUGAGUAAAGUUGGUAAACAUUUUUUCAUCAAAUAGAUGUAUUCUCUGUUGUGGUUUUCUUCUGUGUUGCUCGGAACCCGAACAUCGUUUUCUGUUAUUUACACAUCUAAACCUGUCGGUAUUUCCCAAAGUAAUGCUUAACAUCUUCUUUAAUAGUUCAGGCUUCUGCAAAUGUCUUAUAACUUCAUUAUUUUCAAAUGCUCCCUAUUUCAUUCGACCCUCUCCUAUGUUUGGAAGGGAAACAUCCCUAUUUUGAAAAACACAGGAAAAUAGACAUGUAUGCCUCAUGUACAAUUUGAAUGAUUGAUUAAGCACAAUCUUACUUCUAUAAUCCCCAAGUAUUUGAAAGGCCAGUAGUUGUGUUACGUAUUUCUACGUGAACGAAAUAUCUGCUGUUUAGAUAUCCUGGCACAAAUUCCUUUGAUGCUAAUUCUGGUAAAAGCAACAAACCGAUAUCUCUACUGGUCUUUUGAAGUGUUUACUGCAUUUGUCUUCCAUGCUUAUCUGUGCUUAUUUGACAUCCAGAAUUGCAUUUAUCUUGUUCUUGGAAUGUCCAACGUCCUUGAGAAUUGAGAUCACACUCUCAACCCAUAGUUGUAUGACUAUCCAUUUUUAGCCUUAUCUGACCAAAAAAGUUAUAUAACUAAUCUGACAAAGUUAUAUAAGUGAAUUUAUAGGGUCGAAAAGCUUUAGCUAUAAGAUAAAGUAUUUACUGUGAAGUGUUCAUGCGGGGUCAUUCUAGUACGGAAGCUAUCCACCUUAUCAGGAGGUUGGUGGAACAGUACAUGCAUAAGAAGAAGGAUUUGCACAUAGUGUUUAUUGACCUAGAGAAAGCGCAUGCCAAGGUUCUUAUAGAGGUUCAUUGGGGAUGCCUGGAGGUGAAAGGUGUGCUAAUAGCCUACAUUAGAGUGAUAAAGGACAUGUAUGAGGGAGUUAAUACUAGGGUUAGGACUGUGGGAGGUGACUUGGAGCACUUUUAGGUUGUUAUGGGAUUGCACCAAGGGUUUGCGCUCAGCUCGUUCUUAUUAGUCCUGGCGAUGGAUGCACUAGCAUACCAUAUUCAAGGGAAGGUGCUAUGGUGUAUUCACUGAUGAUAUAGUUCUAUUGAUGAGAUGCGGGGCGACGUUAACGAGAGGUCAGAAGUUUGGAGAGAGACCCUUGAGUCUAAAGGUUUCAAGUUGAGUAGGACUAAGACAGAAUAUUUGGAGUGUACGUUCAUCGAUGCGUCGGGAGAAGCAGACAUGAGCGUAAGGCUUGACUCACAAGUCAUCCCCAAGAGAGGAAGUUUCAAGUACUUUGGGUCAAUUAUCCAGGGAUAGGGAGAUAGGCGAGGAUGUCAUGCAUCGUAUAGCAGUGGGGUCGGUGAAAUGGAUGUUAGUAUCUGGAGUCCUGUGUGAUAAGAAAGUGUCAUCCGAACUUAAAGGCAAGUUCUAUAGAGCGGUGGUUAGACCGGCCAUGCUGUAUGGGGCUGAGUGUUGUGUAGCCAAGAAUUCUCAUAUUCAUAAGAUGAAAGUGGUAUAGAUGAGGAUGUUGAGAUGGAUGUGCAGCCACACUAGGCUGGAUAAUAUUAGGAAUGAAGAUAUCCGGGGAAGGUGGAGGUGGCUCCCAUGGACGACAAGAUGCUGCAGGUGAGGCUUAGAUGGUUCAGGCAUGUGCGGAGGAGAAACAUAGAUGCCCCGGUUAAGAGGCGUGAGUAGUUGACAGUGGCAGGUAUGAGAAGAAGUAGAGGGUGGUGUAAGAAGUAUUAGGGUGAGGUGAUCAGACAGGACAUGGUGCAACUUCAGAUCUCCGAGGACAUGGCUCUUGAUAGUAAGGUGUGGAGGUCGAGCAUAAGGAUUGUAGGUUAGGAGGGGGUCGAGCAUUUUUCCAUGUUUGUGCCGGGUUGGGGCUAGGCUAGUAAUGUUUCGCCUUAGGUCGUUAGUAGUUUAUGUAGUUUCCACACGGUUUAUGUAGUUUCCACACUAUUUUCUAUGGCAUUAUUACUGGUUAUUGUUAUUGUUUUUCCAUCUAUUUUCUGUUUCUUACGAUGCUGGCAACUUCAGACUCCGAGGACAUGGCUCUUGAUAGGAAGAUGUGGAGGUCGAGCAUAAGGAUUGUAGGUUAGGAGGGAGUCGAGCAUUUUUCCAUGUUUGUGUCGGGUUGGGGCUAGGCUGGUAAUGUUUCGCCUUGGGUCGUUAGUAGUUUAUGUAGUUUCCACACUAUUUUCUAUGGCAUUAUUACCGGUUGUUGUUAUUGUUUUUCCAUCUAUUUUCUGUUUCUUACGAUGCUGAUAUUAUUUUUCUAGAUUAUGUUGUUGUCACCGACCCAUUUCUAUUGUCUAUUUUUUAUUUUCUUCUUGUUAAGCCGAGGGUCUUUAGGAAAUAGCCUCUCUACCCUUCUGGGAUAGAGGUAAGGUCUGCAUAUACUCUACUCUCCCCAGUGGGAUUUUACUGGGUUGUUGUUAUUGUUGUUGUUGAAGUGUAUAUAUAUCGCUAGGUGUCAGUAUACAAAUUGCAAAAGUUUUGGUAUCUUGGGAAGCUGGGGUCUAGAGUACUUUUAGUCAAGGGUGCAAAAAUCUAGACUGAAUCAGGACAUUAUAGUUCUUAGUUGUUUGCGUGUCAUUCACUCAUUGAUAGAAACCAAUUGCCAAGUGAUUUAUCUCGAGACCUGGUUCUUGCUCUCUCCUUCAGUUAGCUCUUACUUAGGCAUGGAUCUUACUCCUUACAUGACUAUAUUGAAGCUUUGAUCGCUUAGGAGUCUGGUAUACUGGCAUUUUACUUUCUUAAUCCAGUGACUUCUAUGAAAUUGCCAUGCCUGUUUAUUGCCUGACUAUUUAGCUGUCUGUAGGUGGCUGUUGUAACUCAGAUGGUCAAUGUUUCCAAAUCUAUGAGGUGUUACCGCAAGGGAACAAAUGGCAGUGCACUUAUUGAGUUUUCUUUGUUCCCUGGAGAUCAGAAUGACACUGGUGAUAGUGAUGGAAUUCCUGUUUUCACCUUUUGGUCAAUCUUUGAUUUUGGUAUGACUUUAAAACCUUUGCAACUUGCAGACUGCCUCACUAUUAGGAAUUCCUGCAGAGAUUUGUCAAUGUUCUGUUAAAAGGUUAUCAUAUGGUAAUUCGUAGUCCCAGCGAAUCAAUGAAUGUUAAAUUUAUUGUCUGCUUAGUAGUAAAAGGGUAUCACAAAGCUUUCAUUAAACCUUUUGCUCUAGUGUACUACAAAUGAUAUUGGCCAGAGAUGAGUUCAAAAGGAAUAUCAUGGUCCAACAACAGAAGUAACGAUAUAAAACCUACUUAUCAAAAGAAAAGAAGUAAUCAUAUAAAACCUAAGCAAAUCUGGUUGUCAAUGUGGUAUAAGUUGCUAGCUCAAUUUUGAGUUUGAGUGGUCAGGAUUUUUUGUUUCUCCCCUUCCUGGUUGUAGGGUUUUGGUGAUCACAUGAUAGUCUCUUCUGCUCACCUUCAGAGAAUGAAGGUUGCGGAGAUGAGAAUGCUAAGGUGGAUGUGCGGGCUCACAGGUUAGAUAAGAUUAAGAAUUAAAUUAUUCGGGAAAAGGUGGGUGUGGCCCCAGUGGAUGAGAAGUUGCGAGAGGCGAGGCUCAGGUGGUUCGGGCAUGUGCGGAGGAGAAGCCCAGAUGCUGUGAGGAGUUGUGAGCGUUUGGAGGUGGUUGGCGCGAGUCGAGGUAGAGGGAGACCAAAGAAGUAUUGGAAAGAGGUGAUUAGGCAUGACAUGACUAGUAUGCGGAUUUCCGAGGACAUGGCCCUUGAUAGAAGAAUCUGGAGGACUAGUAUUAGGGUUGUAGGAUAGAGGCUUUUAGGUAGUGGUCGUUGUUAAUGCAUUCCAUUCUAUCUACCGAAUGUGGCUAAAUUAAUAUUUGUGGAUGCCCUUUUACUUGUACAUUGGCAUGUAUGAGAAGAAGNNNNNNNNNNNNNNNNNNNNNNNNNNNNNNNNNNNNNNNNNNNNNNNNNNNNNNNNNNNNNNNNNNNNNNNNNNNNNNNNNNNNNNNNNNNNNNNNNNNNNNNNNNNNNNNNNNNNNNNNNNNNNNNNNNNNNNUUUCUGUCUUUCCUUUUCUUUUUCUAAGCCGAGGGUCGAUUGGAAACAGCCUCUCCAUCCUUUCGGGUGGGGGUAAGGCCUGCGUACAUAUUACCCUCACCAUACCCCACCAUGUGGGAAUAUACUGGGUAGUUGUUGUUGUAUGAUAGUCUCUUCUGCCUGGCCAGACGAAAUUCCGCAGUCACCCUUAAUCUCCUUGGUUAACUAUAAAAUAUUGCUUUAGGAGUGGAUAAUCUACGCAUAGACUUGAGAUAUCGGGAAUGGAGAGUGUCCCAUUAAACAAUCAGUAGA